AUGUAAAUUCACAAGGAGCUUCCUGUUUGCACUGUAUACCUUCACCUGGUAUAUGAGUGGGUGAUGACUGAAAAUGUCUGGUUGCCACAUCCUUCCACAGUCUAAAUUUAGGCCUAGGUUACUGAAAACGUGCUGAACUUUCUAGUAAAACAUCACUUUCAAAAAUUUGCCUUUUAUUUAUACUGAAGUACAAAACAAACAAAACAAGUUGUCCUCAUUUUUUAUUAUUAC